rnacentral:SRP_RNA from 12 species
GCGGUCGGGGCCUGCGCGAGAGGGAGGGCACGCGCACGACGUCAGGGCGGGGAGAGGGCAGCGUGCAGCGUGUGCUCGUGCUCGUGGCAUCGCAGGAAUACGAGCGACAGGAGGACAGCUAGCACG